AGUAGGUGGGGUAACGGCUCACCUAGGCGACGAUCCCUAGCUGGUCUGAGAGGAUGACCAGCCACACUGGAACUGAGACACGGUCCAGACUCCUACGGGAGGCAGCAGUGGGGAAUAUUGCACAAUGGGCGCAAGCCUGAUGCAGCCAUGCCGCGUGUAUGAAGAAGGCCUUCGGGUUGCAAAGUACUUUCAGCGGGGAGGAAGGGAGUAAAGUUAAUACCUUUGCUCAUUGACGUUACCCGCAGAAGAAGCACCGGCUAACUCCGUGCCAGCAGCCGCGGUAAUACGGAGGGUGCAAGCGUUAAUCGGAAUUACUGGGCGUAAAGCGCACGCAGGCGGUUUGUUAAGUCAGAUGUGAAAUCCCCGGGCUCAACCUGGGAACUGCAUCUGAUACUGGCAAGCUUGAGUCUCGUAGAGGGGGGUAGAAUUCCAGGUGUAGCGGUGAAAUGCGUAGAGAUCUGGAGGAAUGCCGGUGGCGAAGGCGGCCCCCUGGACGAAGACUGACGCUCAGGUGCGUAAGCGUGGGGAGCAAACAGGAUUAGAUACCCUGGUAGUCCACGCCGUAAACGAUGUCGACUUGGAGGUUGUGCCCUUGAGGCGUGGCUUCCGGAGCUAACGCGUUAAGUCGACCGCCUGGGGAGUACGGCCGCAAGGUUAAAACUCAAAUGAAUUGACGGGGGCCCGCACAAGCGGUGGAGCAUGUGGUUUAAUUCGAUGCAACGCGAAGAACCUUACCUGGUCUUGACAUCCACGGAAGUUUUCAGAGAUGAGAAUGUGCCUUCGGGAACCGUGAGACAGGUGCUGCAUGGCUGUCGUCAGCUCGUGUUGUGAAAUGUUGGGUUAAGUCCCGCAACGAGCGCAACCCUUAUCCUUUGUUGCCAGCGGUCCGGCCGGGAACUCAAAGGAGACUGCCAGUGAUAAACUGGAGGAAGGUGGGGAUGACGUCAA
rnacentral:rRNA from 1 species